AUAUACAAUUGAUACACAUACACAACAAAAUAUAUGAAAAAAGGCUAUAGAGAGAAAGGGAGAGGAAAAUAGAGCAAAAUAUAAUUGAUACAAACAUACAAAACAAAUUACAAGAAAAAAGGCUUAAAGAGAAAGUGAGAGGAAAAGAGAGAGAAAAUAUGUAAUUGAUACAAACAUACUAAACAAAAUACAAGGAAAAGGGC
rnacentral:lncRNA from 1 species